UAUCCGCUGCUUCCCUGGAUCCCUAUCCCUCCUGUGUGCCCGCCGCUGCGAGCGUCCACCAUCACGACCGCCCCCGAUCUAUCCGUGCGUCGUAGCCCUGCUUCCGCCUUCCACCGUGUCGCGGUCUCCGGCAUUGUGCCCGCCUCCUCUGCGAUCCCGUGUAGCACCCCAGCUCCCCGUCCACCUUCGCUACUCCCCGCCCCCGCUCCUCUGCGCCGUUGUGCCGAUUGUUGAGCCCCGCCUCUGCGGGCGGUGGUGUUGGUGCCCUCCUCUGCACCGCCACUAAUCCACUACCACGCGACCUGACCCAUCUCUCUCUCUCUCUCUCUCUCUCUCUCUCUCUCCACGGCGAGGCAAUUGUCGACGACGGCGACGCGAGGGGCCUGAGCAGGCAGCGCGGAAACUUUCCACGGCCCUCGCCGUGACGCCGUGCACCAUGCUGCCGACAGGACGCGCUGCGGCAGUGCGCUGGACGGGGACGUCUGGUGCCUCCAGCGCUCGGCCACUUUUGUGUUCCCAAGAGAUUCAAAGGCACGUUGGCUUGUCCCUCUAGGACUAUGCGGACGAGCUGGUUCUACUCCUCUCCGUCAUGGCGCAGAUGGUGAGGUUCUGAUUCAUCAAAUUAUUCGACAUCUUAAUUUUAUUUCUCUCAUCUCCAAGCUCAGGGCCAGAUUUUUGGGUCGUUAAACAUGUAGGCAUUUUAUUAAAUCGACAGAAGAUCUGAUGGGUGCACACAAAGUGUUCGUGGAAUUGCCUCCACGAGGUUGUAGUACAUGAAACAGUUGGUUGUUUAGGAAGCGUGCCUUUUUCAAUCUCGACUUUGUUUGUAGACUUGCGGUAUCAUAUAUAUGUGGAUGGCAUCUGAUUAUGAGUAAGAAAAUAUCAAACUUUCUGUCCUGUCUCCACUCUCUUACCAAAUUUGUUAUAGUAAGUUUCUAAUGUUACAAAAGCGAUUUUAUAUAAGUUGAUUUGGCUUAGACUGUGCUGCUCAUUUCUUGGCUGCAAAGGGUGGCUUGUUGUGUUUAUAGCAUGCUAUACAUUGCACACAACUAUAUUUUCCAGAUCACUGCUUCGUCUUUUCUCAGUUUUACUAAUUGGAGUAUAUUUCUGGUUGAGAGGGGAACUUCCUGGUAGAACUGUAGCUUAGAUAGGGAGUGAUUCAUUCUGGAACUCAUCCGGCAACAUGCAAAAAUUCUACUCCGUAAUUAAAUCCAUGGCAGUGAUACUUUUCCCUAUCAGUACAGUUACUAAGCUCCCAGGAAAUGGAGCUUCCUGGGGCGUUGAGCGUUUGAGGAGCGAAUGGGCCUAUGCUGUCAUUGGGUGGACGAAAUUGACUGAACGGGCUGGGUUACUUUCCUUGGUGUACGUGUCGCUCUGGGCGAGUUGGACCUCAGAGCUAGACACACGAAAGGAGAAACCGCCUCCUAUGCACAGGCGGUUGCGGUGCUGCCGCAAUCCAUCUCUCCAUCUCUCUCUCCCUCUCUUGCAGCGAGCCAAUGGUCGACUACAGCGAUGCACCGGGCUUGGAGGAGUAGCAGGUGCCCGUGGUUGCUGAGGCGCCGCAAGAGCUGCGGGAGGCCGCUGCGCCCUCGCCGUGCAUCACGCGGCCAAAGGAGAUGAGCUGCAGCGGAGCUGGACAGGGAUGUCCGCCGCUCGGUCACCUCCAUCAACCCCGCGAAGCUCAACUAGGUGGCAGAUUCAGAGUUUUCAUAUGUGAGAGCUGUCACACCACACAAGACAUGAACUAAUUUCAGAGAACUCUCUAUGGAAGUGAUGGAUUUGAAUGCUUACAGGUACAGGUUCAGGACUGAAGAAGUCAUGGUUUAACGCUUCCACAUCGUCAUUGGAGCUGAACCAGUGCAUAAUCCGGUGCUCCCAGGACUCACCGCAGCCGGUGUGGUCGCCAAUGUCACUCUCCCGCACCGCGGUAUAGGGAGGAUGCUUGCGGUAGAGCUCCCGGGCCUUGAGGGCCAUGGGCGGGGUAGGCAGGAUGGACCGGGACGGGGAUACUGCUGAGGCUGCUGAUGAGAACGCUGGUGGUGGUGGUGACCAAGGCACGGGGGCUGAUGGUGUUCACGGUGGAGCAGACUGCCAAGGUCUUGGUGACCUCCGCCAUGGAGCAGCAGUGCAGCCUAUGAAUGUGUGCAGCUCCAUGAGCAUGGCCUUUUCGUACUCCGCGCUCACCGCCUUAAUCGCAGCCUGCCACAUGGUCGACGAUGCACUCUUCCCUAUCUGCCUUCGGUUCAGUCUCAUUGUGAUGUAUGCUGCCACAGGCACCAGGUGACACGCCGGAAUGCAGAGCGAGGUGAGCUGGUGCUGCUACCAUUGCUUUAUCCAUUGCAUGGUUCUUUUAUUUAGUUGCACGAUGCUUUCUAUCUUGAUUUUUUUGUGUUGGAUGAGCUGAUUGUAUAACGUGAAGCCAAGCAGAACCAGCUUGUUAUUUGUGAGAGUCGGCUACUUUCAAGUCCUGUUAAUAGGUGAAUGAGUUGAACUCAGCUCACACUUGUAGUUUGUAUCGAUGCCAUUCUUCAUCAGGGAUAAACUGUCAAAUUUUCAGUUGAUAAUGGUGCUAAUGUUCGGCCCGUGCUGGAUUUA